AUGGAAAAACUAAUGAUAUUCUUCCUACAUGCAGGUACCCAUGUCAUCCCAAUGGCGGCCUCAUCUGUAGCUGCAUUUGUAGUUCUUUCAUUGAUUGUGGCCACUGUGAUAUAUCUCUCCUUGAAGUCAAGGUACAAUGAAGAGAUAAAUAUGAAGGUUGAAAUGUUUCUCAAGGCAUAUGGCACAUCGAAACCCACAAGAUACACUUUCCCUGAGGUUAAGAAGAUAGCAAGACGGUUCAAGGAUAAACUGGGCCAGGGUGGAUUUGGAAGUGUAUACAAGGGCGAGCUACAAAACGGAGUUCCUGUGGCAGUCAAGAUGCUAGAGAGCUCUACAGGGGAGGGAGAGGAAUUCAUCAAUGAAGUUGGAACCAUUGGACUAAUCCACCAUGCAAAUAUCGUCCGUCUUUUGGGCUUUUGCUCCGAAGGAAUGAGACGGGCUCUUAUUUAUGAGUUCAUGCCUAACGAGUCAUUGGAAAAAUACAUAUUCGCACAUGUUUCUGAUAUUUCUCGACAACUCCUAGCACCCAACAAAAUGCUAGAUAUUGCUUUAGGCAUCGCCCGAGGGAUGGAAUACCUGCAUCAAGGGUGCAACCAGCGCCUUCUCCACUUUGACAUCAAGCCACACAACAUCUUGCUGGACUACAACUUCAACCCGAAGAUCUCAGACUUUGGCCUUGCCAAGCUGUGUGCAAGGGACCAAAGCAUCAUUACCUUAACUGCAGCAAGAGGGACUAUGGGAUACAUAGCACCAGAGCUAUACUCUCGGAACUUUGGAGGGGUGUCUUACAAGUCAGAUGUGUACAGUUUUGGCAUGCUGGUGUUGGAGAUGGUGAGCGGACGGAGGAACUCAGAUCCAAGUGUUGAGAACCAGGACGAAGUUUAUCUCCCGGAGUGGAUCUACGAGAGAGUAAUCAAUGGGCAUGAAUGGGAACUUACUUCGGAAAUGACAGCAGAAGACAAAGAAAAGGUGAGACAGCUGACUAUUGUGGCACUGUGGUGUAUCCAAUGGAACCCCAAGAAUCGGCCAUCAAUGACAAAGGUGGUAAACAUGUUAACGGGGAGGUUGCAGAACCUACAGAUUCCCCCUAAGCCCUUUGUGUCAUCUGAAAAUUAUCCUAGAACAUAA
rnacentral:rRNA from 1 species